rnacentral:rRNA from 1 species
AGGGAUCAUUACACAAUAACAAGGCGGGCUGGACACCCCCCGCUGGGCACUGCUUCACGGCGUGCGCGGCGGGGCCGGCCCUGCUGAAUUAUUCACCCGUGUCUUUUGCGUACUUCUUGUUUCCUGGGUGGGCUCGCCCGCCCUCAGGACCAACCACAAACCUUUUGCAAUAGCAAUCAGCGUCAGUAACAACGUAAUUAAUUACAACUUUCAACAACGGAUCUCUUGGUUCUGGCAUCGAUGAAGAACGCAGCGAAAUGCGAUACGUAGUGUGAAUUGCAGAAUUCAGUGAAUCAUCGAAUCUUUGAACGCACAUUGCGCCCUUUGGUAUUCCAAAGGGCAUGCCUGUUCGAGCGUCAUUUGUACCCUCAAGCUUUGCUUGGUGUUGGGCGUCUUUUGUCUCCAGUUCGCUGGAGACUCGCCUUAAAGUCAUUGGCAGCCGGCCUACUGGUUUCGGAGCGCAGCACAAGUCGCGCUCUUYGCCAGCCAAGGUCAGCGUCCAGCAAGCCUUUUUUUUCAACCUUUGACCUCGGAUCAGGUAGGGAUACCCGCUGAACUUAAGCAUAUCAAUAAGCGGAGGAGAGAU